rnacentral:rRNA from 1 species
AUUUUGAAAAAUUGACCU